rnacentral:ncRNA from 1 species
AAUUUGGUUAUGGUUUUUAAAUGGCUGCGGCGUAGAUAUAUAUCAAUGUAGGGGAGCCGCGAAGGGAAGAGGAGGCCAAACCCCUUAGAAAGGAAGAUCUCGUCUCAAGGGUAGAGCACUACGCAAUCAAUGAAAGUUGGACCGGGUCAUGCGUAUUAAAACGUUGCGAAAUGAGGUGCCAGCAGCCGCGGUUACACCCCUUACUGGAAGCCAUUGCAUUUCGGUGCUGUGAGGACAAAUGUGUGUGGGUUCAGCUGCAGGUUUAUGUUCUAAGGGUAAAAUCGGAAAAAACUAAGCACCCUAACUGAACAAAUGGUAUACUCACGAAGCCUAGGAAAAAGGACCGGGAUUAGGCACCCCGUUACUCUAGGUGUCAAUUAAAAACUGGGGACUACGAACUAAUGUUUAAAACCCUAAGAACUUGGCGGUGUGGUACAGUCCAGACAGGGGAACUUGACGCUUAAUUCGAUGGUCCGCGUUUAAUCUCAUCUUUUCUGGUAAAAUCAGGGGUAUAUCGCCGUUAAAGGCUAUAGCGAGAUCGGAUCAAAAUAGUCACAAUUGGUUUAUACCAGCUUAUUCAGGUAAGAUGCCCCCAAUGAAAAGAGGUUAGUUGAGUUACCAAAUAUAGUUUAUGGAAGUCGCUAAGGCAGGUGAGGCUGAAAGAGGACUUGUUAGUAAACAAAGAUUAAAACGCUUCGUUGAAUAGUGAAAUGCCAUGCGUACAAAUCGCCCGUCGCUCUCUUGGAAACCGGAGAUAAGUCGUAACACGGUAGGGGUAGGGGAACCUGUUCCUGAUUGAAGUUUUUGGUAAGU